AUUGAACGCUGGCGGCAGGCCUAACACAUGCAAGUCGAGCGGAGCGGCGGACGGGUGAGUAAUGCCUAGGAAUCUGCCUGGUAGUGGGGGAUAACGUCCGGAAACGGGCGCUAAUACCGCAUACUAUCAGAUGAGCCUAGGUCGGAUUAGCUAGUUGGGGGGGUAAAGGCCUACCAGGGCGACGAUCAGUCACUGGUCUGAGGGGAUGAUCAGUCACACUGGAACUGGACCACGGUCCGGAUUCCUAGGGAAGGCAGAAUGGGGGAAUUUUGGACAAUGGGCGAAAUCCUGAUUCACCCAUGCCGGGGGUGUGAAGAAGGUCUUCGGAUUGUAAAGCACUUUAAGUUGGGAGGCGUUACCAACAGAAUAAGCACCGGCUAACUUCGUGCCAGCAGCCGCGGUAAUAC
rnacentral:rRNA from 1 species